rnacentral:rRNA from 1 species
AACGAACGCUGGCGGCAGGCUUAACACAUGCAAGUCGAACGAGCUGGCGGCUUCGGUCUCCGAUGCUAGUGGGGCACGGGUGAGUGACACAUGGGAAUAUCCUCUUUAGUACUGUAUAACCAAGGGAAACAUUGGCUAAUACCGUAUACGCUCUUCGGGGGUAAGCUUUAUCGCUGAAGGAUUAGGCGGCGUCUGAUUAGGUAGUUGGCGAGGUCAUGGCUCACCAAGGCGGCGGUCAGUACCUGGGCAGAGAGGAUGAUCAGCCACACUGGGACUGAGACGCGGCGCAGAAUCCUGGGGGAGGCAGCAAUGGGGGAUAGUGGAAUACGGCGGCAACGCGGAAGGAGUCAGGCCGCUAGAGUGAUGAAGGUCUUCGGGUUAUGAAGCAGGUUCAACGGGGGCGGUGAUGACGGUACCCGGAUAAGAAGCCCCGGCUAACUUCGUG